GAGUUUGAUCAUGGCUCAGAACGUACGCUGGCGGCACGCCUAACACACGCAAGUCGAACGAAGUAGCAAUACUUAGUGGCAGACGGGUGAGUAACAUGUAGGUAUCUGCCCUUUGGCCUGGAAUAACACGAGGAAACUUGUGCUAAUACCGGAUAAGUCUUUACGGAGAAAGCUUUACGCACCAUUGGAUGAGCCUGCACUUGAUUAGUUUGUUGGUGGGGUAAUGGCCUACCAAGACUGUGAUCAAUAGCUGAUUUGAGAGGAUGAUCAGCCACAUUGGGACUGAGACACGGCCCAAACUCCUACGGGAGGCAGCAGUGGGGAAUCUUGCACAAUGGAGGAAACUCUGAUGCAGCGAUGCCGCGUGAGUGAAAAAGGCCUUUGGGUUGUAAAGCUCUUUCGUCGGGGAAGAAAAUGACUGUACCCGAAUAAGAAGGUCCGGCUAACUUCGUGCCAGCAGCCGCGGUAAUACGAAGGGACCUAGCGUAGUUCGGAAUUACUGGGCUUAAAGAGUUCGUAGGUGGUUGAAAAAGUUGGUGGUGAAAUCCCAGAGCUUAACUCUGGAACUGCCAUCAAAACUUUUCAGCUAGAGUAUGAUAGAGGAAAGCAGAAUUUCUAGUGUAGAGGUGAAAUUCGUAGAUAUUAGAAAGAAUACCAAUUGCGAAGGCAGCUUUCUGGAUCAUAACUGACACUGAGGAACGAAAGCAUGGGUAGCGAAGAGGAUUAGAUACCCUCGUAGUCCAUGCCGUAAACGAUGUGUGUUAGACGUUGGAAAUUUAUUUUCAGUGUCGCAGCGAAAGCGAUAAACACACCGCCUGGGGAGUACGACCGCAAGGUUAAAACUCAAAUGGAUUGACGGGGACCCGCACAAGUAGUGGAGCAUGUGGUUUAAUUCGAAGAUACGCGCAGAACCUUACCAACACUUGACAUGUUCGUCGCGACUCUAAGAGAUUAGAGUUUUCGGUUCGGCCGGACGAAACACAGGUGCUGCAUGGCUGUCGUCAGCUCGUGUCGUGAGAUGUUGGGUUAAGUCCCGCAACGAGCGCAACCCUCACUUUUAGUUGCCAUCAUUAAGUUGGGCACUCUGAAAGAACUGCCAGUGAUAAGCUGGAGGAAGGUGGGGAUGACGUCAAGUCCUCAUGGCCCUUACGUGUUGGGCUACACACGUGCUACAAUGGUAUCUACAACAGGAAGCAAGACUGCGAAGUUAAGCAAAUCCUUAAAAGAUACCUCAGUUCGGAUUGCACUCUGCAACUCGAGUGCAUGAAGCUGGAAUUACUAGUAAUCGUGGAUCAGCGUGCCACGGUGAAUGCGUUCCCGGGUCUUGUACACACCGCCCGUCACACCAUGGGAGUUGGUUCUACCUUAAGGCAAGGUUUAAAACCCUUGACACGGUAUAGUCAGCGACUGGGGUGAAGUCGUAACAAGGUAACC
rnacentral:rRNA from 1 species